rnacentral:rRNA from 1 species
AAUAGAUACCCCGGUAGUCCACGCCGUAAACGAUGAGUGCUAAGUGUUAGAGGGUUUCCGCCCUUUAGUGCUGCAGCUAACGCAUUAAGCACUCCGCCUGGGGAGUACGGCCGCAAGGCUGAAACUCAAAGGAAUUGACGGGGGCCCGCACAAGCGGUGGAGCAUGUGGUUUAAUUCGAAGCAACGCGAAGAACCUUACCAGGUCUUGACAUCCUCUGCCAACCCUAGAGAUAGGGCGUUCCCCUUCGGGGGACAGAGUGACAGGUGGUGCAUGGUUGUCGUCAGCUCGUGUCGUGAGAUGUUGGGUUAAGUCCCGCAACGAGCGCAACCCUUGAUCUUAGUUGCCAGCAUUCAGUUGGGCACUCUAAGGUGACUGCCGGUGACAAACCGGAGGAAGGUGGGGAUGACGUCAAAUCAUCAUGCCCCUUAUGACCUGGGCUACACACGUGCUACAAUGGAUGGUACAAAGAGUUGCGAACCCGCGAGGGUAAGCCAAUCUCAUAAAGCCAUUCUCAGUUCGGA